AGUGAACGCUGGCGGUAGGCCUAACACAUGCAAGUCGAACGGCAGCACAGGAGAGCUUGCUCUCUGGGUGGCGAGUGGCGGACGGGUGAGGAAUACAUCGGAAUCUACUUUUUCGUGGGGGAUAACGUAGGGAAACUUACGCUAAUACCGCAUACGACCUACGGGUGAAAGCAGGGGACCUUCGGGCCUUGCGCGAUUGAAUGAGCCGAUGUCGGAUUAGCUAGUUGGCGGGGUAAAGGCCCACCAAGGCGACGAUCCGUAGCUGGUCUGAGAGGAUGAUCAGCCACACUGGAACUGAGACACGGUCCAGACUCCUACGGGAGGCAGCAGUGGGGAAUAUUGGACAAUGGGCGCAAGCCUGAUCCAGCCAUACCGCGUGGGUGAAGAAGGCCUUCGGGUUGUAAAGCCCUUUUGUUGGGAAAGAAAUCCAGCUGGCUAAUACCCGGUCGGGAUGACGGUACCCAAAGAAUAAGCACCGGCUAACUCCGUGCCAGCCGCCGCGGUAA
rnacentral:rRNA from 1 species